rnacentral:lncRNA from 1 species
GUAUUAUUUUCCAGAAUUCAUUCGUCUGUAGGUACAACUUGACUAAUCACAUCAGCAGUUCUGACUUUAAGACAGGGAAAAUAAAAACAGGUACGACGUGGGACGGUAAGCUAGCUCCUGGGGAGAAGAGGCCACGUUCCAAGGCCAAGUGGACCCAAGUGUCAACUUGAACCAGAUGCAGCACAAACAAGAGGGACAGACAAAGUAGCCUCAGCUCCAAACGCGGCACUUAGAGGUUGGGGUAAGGUUAGUUAGUUAGCCCUCAUUUCCACCAACGUUGGUAACUGCAGAGCAGCUGGGGAGGUUCACGAAUGUGGGACUGAGGGUAAUUCAGGUUUUGAAAUUAAAUUAGAAAACAGAGGCUCUGUUAAUCUUUAAGCAAGAGUUGAAAAUUGUAAAAGGCGGUAAAGAAGAGGAAGGUCGCACAGAGCUAACGGCCGAGUUCCAGUCCGCGGCGCAGGAAGCGGGAAACUCCAGGCGAAGCCAAAGCGCUUCCCCCAGGCCUCGGCUCCGGAAGUUCCGGGGUCCGUCGCGCCAGCUCCGCGCAUGCGCAGGCCUGCGCUUAGGGUGUGGCGGAGCGCGCCCGGCCCUCGGUCUCUGGAGAAGAGGGCGGGCGGGGAGACGUCACGUGACCGGGAUUGCGGCAUUUGGGGCCCAAUCCGGGAGGUUCUGGGAAAAGCCCUUGUGGAGCAAUUCGGGUAGCCCCGGUCCUUGCGGAGCCCUGACUCGGUGUGUCCGUUUCUGACUUCUCGGUUCUGUUCUCGACUCGGAGGACCCGGUGGUUCUCGCUCGGUGUCCCCGGCGUGGAACCGGAGGCGCCCGUUAGUUCCUUCAGGACCGAGGGGCCUGCUCGGUCUCAGGUCCACCUCGGUCUCGGCGGAUCGCGCGUCCUUUCUACCCCGGCGAUCCCGGAGUCGCGGGAGAGCGCCCCGUGGUAAAACAGCACCCAGAAAAAGAGCCUGCCACCCAUCUCGGGGUGAGGCUGGGGCAGGGCAGGGAGAGUCGAGGUACGUGUCCCCAGGAUGCGACCGAGCUUGGUCCGUGCGCCCACCUCCGAUCAGUUGUCCUGGUGGCUUUCAUUCCAGCCUCCGGAAAAGAACCCCGCGCGGCCGACCCUGCCGCGGCUGCUGGGAGGCAGGGCUGCGAGGUCGAGGCCAGCCUCGGCCACUAAGCAGGACCCCGUCCCCAACAUUAAAAGGAUGUGGCUCCGAGGCACAGCGCCCCGGGGUCAAUCCCCAGUAACCCCACCGCCCAAACCCUCAAGGGUGAUGACUUAACGUGGCCAUUGGCCCCGGAGGGUCGUGGUGGGCGCGGCCUUUCAGGGUUUCCCCCAGCUCGAGCACGUGGAGGGGAGGCCUGGGGCUGGCUCUGGCCCAGCCUCCCGCCCAGCCUCCUGGCUCAGGUCUCGGUUCUCAGUUGCUUUAACUCCAGUUCCUUCUAGUAUAGAUUCUAAUACCGCCCCACCGACUGGUCACAGCUCCCCGCAUGAAUGACGUCAAGCACUACACUGCCCUAAGAAAUGCCGGCGCCACCCCGCCUGGACCCGGCGGCUGGGGAGGCUGAGGCAGGAGGAUUCCAAGUUCAAAGCCAGCCUCAGCAAUUUAUCAGUGCACUAAGCAACUCAGUGAGACCCUGUCUCUAAACAAAAUACAAAAAAGGGCUGGGGACGUGGCUCACUGGUAGAGUGCUUGUCUGGCACUGCGAGGCACUGGUUUGGAUCCUCAGCACCACAUAAAAAUUAGUAAACAAAGAUUGUGUCCAUCUGCAACUAAAAAAAUUUAAAAAUAAAAAAAAUUAAAGGUGGGGGGCUGGGAUGUACUUCAGUAGUUAAGCGCCCCUGGUUUCAAUCCCUGGUACCAAAAAAAAAAAAAAGGUAAAAAAAUCCUUCUGGGAGAAAUUCCCUUCACAUGGAGAAACGGGUAUAGCCUGUGAGCCAAUUCUGGGGCUGCAGAAUAAGCCUAAUCAGGCAAAGUCCCAGUGAAGGGCGGAGAUCAUGGACCUCAUCCUGAAAGAUGGUGUGAAGUAUUUAAUAGGAGAAUCAGAAAAAAUAGGCAAGUUUAUUGAAUGUAAUUUAUUUAUUUAUUUUUGCAUGCAUGUUAUUGAGGAUUGAACCCAGGAAUGGGAUUACAGGGAGCCUGGCUUAUCAUUUCGUGAAGUUAGAAUAGAUUGUUUUCAUCAGUGUUGUGUGUAGCAUGUAUCAUUAUUAAGCAUUAGUGUGAAUGUGUCUGUUGUUUUUUAAGUAGCCAAAUUCAAAUGAUGCCUCAUAAAAUGUUAAAUUAUUUGUAAAUAUAAAUGAAAUUCAAAGUCACACCUACUUCUGAGUCUUUCUUAAUCAGGGUUAUUAUGAAGUAAUCUUACUUCAGGGUUUUACCAAAGUGUCUACACUCCUAUGACAUAAAACUACUUUAUCAAUAUGUAGUCUCCCCCCCCCCCACCCCUGCCAUUAUGUAGUCUUUUUAAAGAUGCUCCUGAGAUCAGUUCAUUUUGUAAUUUCCACUUGUGGUAUAAUCUUUUGUCCUUCCAGUUAAGACUGGCUGUUCAAAUAGACUAAUAACCCAAAUAACUGUCUCAAGGUAAGGUAGGGUUCUCAGAUCUUAGGCUAAUUAGUAUAUGCAAAAGGCACCAGUAGUAGAAUGCUAUUUUAGCUACAGCUGCAGAGUAUCAUUACACCCUAUACUAUAAACAGGAAAAAUUUCCAGCAACUAGAAAAAUAUCUGCUUCAAAGCCUCUCUUUAAAAUACAGAACAAGGAAUAAACAAUAUUUAAGUGUUUUGAAUCAUAGUCUCUCACUGAAUUGCCUCAUUACCUAUCAACCUCACCAAAAACUGUGUGGGGAUUCUACCAUUUUCUUUAACCAAGAGGGUAAAGGCUUUGAAUUUUUUGAAGACAUAAACAAAAGUCAUAGUAAAUACCUGCAGCUGAAAAUUCUUCAGUAUUUUCCAUCCCUCAGGAAGAAUUCUAUAAUUAAAAUACGUUUGCAAUAUUAACCAUAAAACCAAAAAGCAAUUUAAAAACAUUACUUAGCAUUAUACUUGUGCCUUAACUAUACAAAACAUACUUCCCAGACUUCUCCACAAGUGAAACUUUUAUCAGGGGAAAACCCAGAGUACAGAGAAAUACCUACUUUUUCAAAAUUAAACAUGUAAGAA